rnacentral:rRNA from 1 species
CCUACGGGAGGCAGCAGUGGGGACUAUUGCACAAUGGGGGAAACCCUGAUGCAGCGACGCCGCGUGAGUGCAGAAGUAUUUCGGUAUGUAAAGCUCUAUCUGCAGGGAAGAAAAUGCCGGUACCUGUUUAAGAAGCCCCGUCUAACUACGUGCCAGCAGCCGCGGUAAUACGUAGGGGGCAAGCGUUAUCCGGAUUUGCUGGGUGUAAAGGGAGCGUAGACGGCAGCACAAGUCUGGAGUGAAAUGCCGGGGCUUAACCCCGGAACUGCUUUGGAAACUGUGAAGCUAGAGUGCAGGAGAGGUAAGUGGAAUUCCUAGUGUAGCGGUGAAAUGCUUAGAUAGUAGGAGGAACACCAGUGGCGAAGGCGGCUUACUGGACUGUAACUGACGUUGAGGCUCGAAAGCGUGGGGAGCAAACAGGAUUAGAUACCCGUGUAGUC